CCACCGUUUAAGAAAGUGUCCUAGUGACCUCUCGUAGCUCAUCCUUCAUGGAACGUAGAGAAACCUGUCCCUCUCUAGCACUAGAUAUAUCAUCUGGAAGUCUCUUCUUACUCAGAUAUCUGUGAAAACUGCAAAUGGACCUUCACCUCAUUCAGCGAAGUCGGAAGCAUCCUCGGAGGCUUUGAUUCUGGCUUGAGUCUUUGCGAUUCAAAUCUUGAAUUCUGUGCAAACUGACUCUUUGGGACUACAUCUGCAGUAUUUACUGAAGAUGAACACGACUGUGACAUGACACUUCUUAACUAGAAAGGCGAGUGAAGAACUGAUCAGGAAAACUCAGAAACCUUCCUCCAUUUCCUAAGAACUAUCUGGAGCUCUGGGAUAGAUUCUGCCUCUUCCUUCCCAUCUAAGAAUCAUUGUGGACAUCAAUUCUCUACUUUGGUGGAACAAGCCCACGUUCCUGGACACUGUGUGAGCCUGGGAGUAAAGACCCGCCAUCACCGCUGCCCUGAUGCACUUUGCUCUCACAGGUGCUGAGGCUUCUGGCCUGAGCGGAUGUCAAGUCCUUGCAACACUUCCUUUAGAGGAAGAGCUUUGUG
rnacentral:lncRNA from 1 species